rnacentral:rRNA from 1 species
UUGAACGCUGGCGGCAUGCUUUACACAUGCAAGUCGAACGGCAGCGGGGGCUUCGGCCUGCCGGCGAGUGGCGAACGGGUGAGUAAUGCAUCGGAACGUACCCAGUCGUGGGGGAUAACUACGCGAAAGCGUAGCUAAUACCGCAUACGCCCUGAGGGGGAAAGCGGGGGACCUUCGGGCCUCGCGCGCUUGGAGCGGCCGAUAUCGGCUUAGCUAGUUGGUGAGGUAAAGGCUCACCAAGGCGACGAUCCGUAGCUGGUCUGAGAGGACGAACAGCCACACUGGAACUGAGACACGGUCCAGACUCCUACGGGAGGCAGCAGUGGGGAAUUUUGGACAAUGGGGGAAACCCUGAUCCAGCCAUGCCGCGUGAGUGAAGAAGGCCUUCGGGUUGUAAAGCGCUUUCGGCAGGAACGAAACGGUAAGGGCUAAUAUCCUUUGCUAAUGACGGUACCUGAAGAAGAAGCACCGGCUAACUACGU